GCGAGAGCGCCCAGGGGGUGGGCGUCUUGCCCCGGGCGUCGAGAGUUUGGGGCCGUCCCGUACGCGGCGCGCCGCAACCCAGUCCCCGCGACCACAGCAGCCUGCUCCCCACCGCGCUUGCAGAGCCCGGACGCGCGUGAGUCGGGGGCCCGCAGAGGCCUCACCCUUGGAGGUCGCCGCUUGUCAGGCCUGACUGCUGUUGGCGCCCACCCCGCCGCCCCCGAGGGGCCGCUCGAGGCCGGACUGCUGCUUUGCCGUGGCAGGCCCCACCCGGGACGUGGCGCUGCGGGCCGGGGCGGUCCAGCUGCAAUCCCUACUCCCUGCCAAAGGAGAACCCAGUUACUGAACAUCGGAUGAGACCAUGGAUAGUAAAUUGGGAGUGAAGGUCCAUACCUGGGUCUCAGAAGCACAGUACAGGUUUUUAGAACAAGCCACCUUAUACAAGUUAAAAUUCAUGAAGGAAUGGAUACAGGUUAAGUUACACCAGCCUCCUGAGUAUGACAGCAACAUUCCUUCAGGGAUUAAAGAAAAUGCUUCAGAAGAUUGGAACACUGCUCAGCCUUCCCAACCUUCUUUUACCACUGAUGUUUCUACCUUAGUGAUCUUCCUCCUUAUUUUAAUGCUUCUUUCUCUUUACAAUUAAAAGUUCAUAAAAUCUUUCAACAUUAUUUUUCACUACAAAAGUCUGAAGUUCUCUGUGAAAUGCCUACAUGUAAGAAUUAAGAUAGAUUUUAAAGACUGUCAGUCUCAAAAUUCCAUGCUCAUCAGUUAGUGCAUGAUAUUAAAUUAUGCUUUUUUCCUCCUUUUAAAUAUACCAACAUUAUAUUGCU